GUAUGUUACUUUUUUGAGUGUGUUGUGCGUUUUGUGGUAUAUUUGUGCAUAUCAUUGUUGUGCGUUUUUUUAACACUAUUGGUGCAUGAUUUUUAUAUAUUAUUG